UACAGAGGUGCCAAGCGUUAGGCGGAAUCACUGGGCUUAAAGCGCGUGUAGGCGGGUCGUUAAGUGACCGGGUGAAAUCCCAAGGCUCAACCUUGGAACUGCCUUUGAUACUGGGAGGCUCGAGUCCGGGAGAGGUGAGUGGAACUGCGAGUGUAGAGGUGAAAUUCGUAGAUAUUCGCAAGAACACCAGUGGCGAAGGCGGCUCACUGGCCCGGUACUGACGCUCAGGCGCGACAGCGUGGGGAUCAAACAGG
rnacentral:rRNA from 1 species